rnacentral:rRNA from 1 species
UACGGAGGGUGCAAGCGUUAUCCGGAUUCACUGGGUUUAAAGGGUGCGUAGGUGGGCCUGUAAGUCAGUGGUGAAAUCUCCGUGCUUAACAUGGAAACUGCCAUUGAUACUAUGUUUCUUGAAUUUUCCGGAGGUUAGCGGAAUAUGCCAUGUAGCGGUGAAAUGCUUAGAUAUGACAUAGAACACCAAUUGCGAAGGCAGCUAACUACAGGGAUAUUGACACUGAGGCACGAAAGCGUGGGGAGCAAACAGG